UGCCCUGCACUUUGGGAUAAGCCUGGGAAACUGGGUCUAAUACCGAAUAGGACCACGCGCUUCAUGGUGUGUGGUGGAAAGCUUUUGCGGUGUGGGAUGGGCCCGCGGCCUAUCAGCUUGUUGGUGGGGUAAUGGCCUACCAAGGCGACGACGGGUAGCCGGCCUGAGAGGGUGACCGGCCACACUGGGACUGAGAUACGGCCCAGACUCCUACGGGAGGCAGCAGUGGGGAAUAUUGCACAAUGGGCGCAAGCCUGAUGCAGCGACGCCGCGUGAGGGAUGACGGCCUUCGGGUUGUAAACCUCUUUCAAUAGGGACGAAGCGCAAGUGACGGUACCUAUAGAAGAAGCACCGGCCAACUACGUGCCAGCAGCCGCGGUAAUACGUAGGGUGCGGGCGUUGUCCGGAAUUACUGGGCGUAAAGAGCUCGUAGGUGGUUUGUCGCGUUGUUCGUGAAAACUCACAGCUUAACUGUGGGCGUGCGGGCGAUACGGGCAGACUAGAGUACUGCAGGGGAGACUGGAAUUCCUGGUGUAGCGGUGGAAUGCGCAGAUAUCAGGAGGAACACCGGUGGCGAAGGCGGGUCUCUGGGCAGUAACUGACGCUGAGGAGCGAAAGCGUGGGGAGCGAACAGGAUUAGAUACCCUGGUAGUCCACGCCGUANACGGUGGGUACUAGGUGUGGGUUCCUUCCUUGGGAUCCGUGCCGUAGCUAACGCAUUAAGUACCCCGCC
rnacentral:rRNA from 1 species